rnacentral:tRNA from 11 species
AGUCGAGAUGCAGAGGUCGGGCUCGAACUACGGGCCUUUCGGUAUGAAAAUCCGCGCUCUAACCACUGAGCCAUCUCGUC